rnacentral:rRNA from 1 species
CUACGGGCGGCUCCAGUCGAGAAUCUUCCGCAAUGGACGAAAGUCUGACGGAGCGACGUCGCGUGAUCGAUGAAGUCUUUAGGGAUGUAAAGGUCUUUUAUGAGGGAGGAAGUUUAUUGACGUUACCUCAUGAAUAAGGGGUUGCUAAACUCGUGCCAGCAGCAGCGGUAAUACGAGUGCCCCGAGCGUUAUCCGGAAUCAUUGGGCGUAAAGGGUCCGUAGGCGGUUCUAUUAGUCACUCGUUAAAGCUCCCGGCUUAACUGGGAAAAGGCGAGUGAAACGGUAGAUCUAGAGGAUGCGAGAGGUAUGCGGAACUCACGGUGUAGGGGUGAAAUCCGUUGAUAUCGUGGGGAACACCAAAAGCGAAGGCAGCAUACUGGCGCACUCCUGACGCUAAGGGACGAAAGCGUGGGUCGCGAAGGGGAUUAGAUACCCUUGUAGUC